rnacentral:sRNA from 1 species
UUCGUCUGUAGCCAAUGAGGAUGAGAACCUCCGAAGGAGGUUUGAGCCGAGCGCAGCGAGACAGCGUUGCUUUAGCAACGGCCCGCAGGGCGGCUCGCACU